CUUCAGGAGUGAAGCUGCAGACCUUCGCGUGAUGGAGGUUGAGAAGUCCAACUUCAAGGCACCACAUCUGGUGAGAGCCUUCAUUCCGAUGACAGCCUUCAUGCUGGUAAGAUUUUCUUCAGAGUUCCAAGGUGGUGCACGGCAUCACAUGGCGAAGGAAAUGAGCGUGCUAGCUCAGGUGUCUCUUCCUCUUCUUAUAAAGCCACCAGUCCCACUCCUGUGCUAGUAACUCUUUAAUCCAUCAACCCAUUAAUCCAUGAAUAGAUUAACCCAUGAGGCCUCUGCCCUCAGGACCCAAUCACCUCUUAAAGGCCUGACCUGUCAAUAUUGCCAUACUGGGGACUCAGUUUCAACAUGAGUUUUGAAAGGGACAAACAUUCAAUCCAUAGUAACAUGAGAGCUUUUCAAAGCCCUUCUUUGUUGAAGUAUGUCCUUCUCCAGCCUCUUUUUUCCCAGGCUUUUUGUUUUUUCUAUUGCUUGUGCAGCUGUUAUCCUUUGCUACAGGUGGCAAUAGCUAAUACAUUUGCCUUUAAAUUUGUUUGACAAACACCACCCUGGAAGUAGCCUCAACUCUGGGGAAGCUCCAAGACAGGUAAAAUACAGGUAAGCCCUUGAGCAGAUCCUUCAGGAAGCUACCAUAUGGGUCAAAACACAGAACCACAAUUCUUUAAUUCUUUGAGAAUAAGGUCUGUAUUGUUCCCUCUGUUACCAGCAACCUGCAGCAGGAAAAUGGGCUUCAGUUUUCAAGUCUGCAGCUGAGUUGGGAAGUUGCGGACAGUAACCAGUUCUAGAAAAAGCGCUUAGUGUGAAAUUUGUGGGAAAGAUGCUGUUCAGAGUUUAAUUUCAUUAUGUAGUUAACCAAUGAAAAUCCAGCGGAAAAAAAAGAGGAAAGGCCACAUGGGGACAAGAGAGGGCAACUGUCUACAAAUCUGGAAGAGAGACUUCAGAAGAAACCAGCACUGAUGGCAUCUGAUCUUGGACUUCCAGCCUCUGGAUCUAUCUGCCAGAGCCUGAUCUCAUACACACUGAUGUGGUACAGGAAAUGCCACCUGAAAAUAUGGUACCUUGGCAUUUGAGGAAACAGUAGAAGGAGGUCAUAGAAACUAGAAAGAAUUCCUCCUUGCUCUUUGUCCCCCAAAGGAGCCAUAAAACCUGGGCCGAGUUUCUUCUGAAAAUAAGUUAUAAGAUCCUUAUUCCAGAGGGGUCCUGCCCUGUGCCUGGAGGAAAAGAAUGAAGACACAGAGAUGCCUUGAAGAAUCUGAACAAACAGCCCUUGCUAAGUUCCCCCCAGUUUAUUGACAUUAGAUUAGACCUUUUGUCCUCCAAUUAUACUUCUGUGUUCCUGAAAAUACACAUUUUCCCGUUUUUUCUUUUGUUUGCUUUUUUUGAUCUUCAUUUCUGAAGAUUCCCAUGUCAUGUAAAAUAUAUGUUAAACAAAUGUG
rnacentral:lncRNA from 1 species